rnacentral:lncRNA from 1 species
GUAAAAUACAAUUUAAUAUUUUCUUGUUAAUUCAUGUAUGUUAGUCAAUAUUGGGGCUCUUGAAUGAAAUUCAUAACUUAAUUGGGGAUAGUUAUGAGAUUACCAACAUUCAUGUUUAUUAAUGUUUCUAGAUAAUCCGAGAAGACUUCUUAAGAAGUCUUUUGAGAGAAGACUUCCACGGAAGGCUUUUAUAUUAGUUUUUGCAAAUCUUUUAUAUUCAAGAGUGUUAAAUAACUUCAAGAUAUGUAUUUUAUCAUUCAAAAGUGUAAAGUAACAUCAACAAUAUCAAGUCAUGUGGCUUAAUGUGUCUUCUUAGAUCAUAAGAUAUACUUUUUUAACUUUUAUGAGAUUUAAAAUUUCAAUUUUUACUUACAAUUUAAGUUUUCUGCUUUAAUCAAAAUUUCCCGCUCAAA